GAUGAAGAACGUAGCGAAAUGCGAUACGUAAUGUGAAUUGCAGAAUUCAGUGAAUCAUCGAAUCUUUGAACGCAUAUUGCGCUCUCUGGUAUUCCGGAGAGCAUGCUUGUUUGAGUAUCAGUAAACACCUCAACUUCCAUAUCUUUUUUGAAAUGGGAGUUGGACUUGAGUGAUCCCAACGCUUUUCCUCACCGAAAAGCGGCGGGUUACUUGAAAUGCAGGUGCAGCUGGACUUUUCUCUGAGCUAUAAGCAUAUCUAUUUAGUCUGCCUAAAAAACAGAUUAUUACCUUUGCUGCAGCUAACAUAAAGGAGAUUAGUUCUUGUGCUGACUGAUGCAGGAUUCACAGAGACAGGCUUCGGCCGACUUUGUAAACUCGAUCUCAAAUCAAGUAAGACUACCCGCUGAACUUAAGCAUAUCAAUAAGCGGAGGA
rnacentral:misc_RNA from 1 species